rnacentral:lncRNA from 1 species
UUCUCCUUCCAGAGGACACCCUGACAUAUGGGAAUGUAGCUUCUCAGGAGAGCAACUGAAUGCCCUGGGGCUCAGAUAAAUAUCCUGGCUUACCCUUCCCAUAAAAACAGAACCUUUUGGGAUUUUAAGAUUUUCUUUUCCCAAUUCCAGUUCUUGCUGGUUAGCCAAUCAGAUGGUGGUAUUUAGAGAAAAAGGCAGAAAUCAUGUCUGUCCUCAGAAUAGUGUCAUAUUUGUGAAGGGAGAAAAACUAUGCUGAAAGACGAAAUAGACCUACCCCAUGGAGGCAAUGCAAGAACCUGCAAAGCAAAAAAGUACCAGGGACACAGAGUGGGGUACAGUGCAGUGUCUUCUGGGAGGGUGAUCUUUGAGCACUUCGGUGAGUAGGGUAAGGGUGGGAGAAUGUCCCAAGUGAUAGGGUUGCCUGAUUUGACACUUGAGUCAGAUAUGUGUCUGUUGCAAUAAACACUAUUACUCCCUGAGUUUGCCACCUUGAACAGAUUUGUUCACUUAUUUCAACUUUGGUUUUUUAUUAGAUGUAAAUUGAAUUUUAUCAUCAGAGCUCAA